UCCCGGGUAGCUCAAUCGGUUAGAGCGUCUGACUCUUAAUCAGAAGGUUGCGAGUUCGAUUCUCGCCUUGGGAG
rnacentral:tRNA from 1 species